UAGUCCUGCAGUUAAACGAAAUCGCCCUGUGCAAAGCAGCCGCGGUAAUUCCAGCUCCAAUAGCGUAUAUUAAAGUUGUUGCGGUAAAAAAGCUCGUAGUUGGAUUUCUGUUGAAGACGUCCGGUCCAUACCACGUAUGCGCAUCUGGCUCGGCUUCGGCAUCCUCUCGAAAGACGUUUCUGCGCUUGAUUGCGUGGAGCGGAUCUCGGGACUUUUACUUUGAGGAAAUUAGAGUGUUCACGGCAGGCUAUCGCCAGAAUACAUUAGCAUGGAAUAAUACUAUAGGAUCUCGGUUCUAUUUUGUUGGUUUCUAGAAUUGAGAUAAUGAUUAAUAGGGACAAUUGGGGGCAUUCGUAUCAACACGUUAGAGGUGAAAUUCUUGGAUCGUGUUGCGACGAACUACUGCGAAAGCAUUUGCCAAGGAUGUUUUCAUUGAUCAAGAACGAAAGUAAGGGGAUCGAAGACGAUUAGAUACCGUCGUAGUCUUUACCAUAAACUAUGCCAACUAGAGAUGGGACAUCGUUCACUUAAGACUUGUUCCGCACCUUAUGAGAUAUCAAAGUCUUUGGGUUCCGGGGGGAGUAUGGUCGCAAGUCUGAAACUUAAAGGAAUUGACGGAAGGGCACCACCAGGAGUGGAGCCUGCGGCUUAAUUUGACUCAACACGGGGAAACUCACCAGGUCCAGACAUAAUAAGGAUUGACAGAUUGAUAGCUCUUUCUUGAUUUUAUGGGUGGUGGUGCAUGGCCGUUCUUAGUUCGUGGAGUGAUUUGUCUGCUUAAUUGCGUUAACGAACGAGACCUUAACCUGCUAAAUAGGAGCGCCCAUCUCCGGAUAAGCGCCUUUCUUCUUAGAGGGACUUUAUGCGUUUCAGCAUGAGGAAGUUUGAGGCUAAAACAGGUCUGUGAUG
rnacentral:rRNA from 1 species